UCUCGUUUGGCGGUCGAGAAUUGCUCUGGUGCGGUAACGGCUGGCGGCGGUCGGCUCCCCGAUGGCUGGGUAUUUUUCUCCAGUGAUGGGUUCUGGCAGCUAGGGUUACGGUUUGGGUGCAAAUGUGAUUAUUUAUACUCAUCCACUUUUGAUCUAGGCCAUCCAUCACUUUUGAUCUGGACCGUCCGAUCGCGAUUAAAUAGGGAGUAAAUCUGGAUCUUUCAACGCAAUUCAAUUUGGGCAAUCCGUGCGCGAUUCAAUCUGGGCUGUCCGUGCGCGAUUUCAAGUUGGGU
rnacentral:lncRNA from 1 species